UUGGAGGGCAAGUCUGGUGCCAGCAGCCGCGGUAAUUCCAGCUCCAAUAGCGUAUAUUAAAGUUGUUGAGGUUAAAAAGCUCGUAGUUGAACCUUGGGCCUAGCCGGCCGGUCCGCCUCACCGCGUGCACUGGCUCGGCUGGGUCUUUCCUUCUGGAGAACCGCAUGCCCUUCACUGGGUGUGCCGGGGAACCAGGACUUUUACUCUGAACAAAUUAGAUCGCUUAAAGAAGCCUAUGCUCGAAUACAUUAGCAUGGAAUAAUAGAAUAGG
rnacentral:rRNA from 1 species